rnacentral:tRNA from 1 species
GAUCAGUUAGCCUAGAGGUUAAGGCUUAUGGCGGAUCGCCAAUCCGGAGACGACGGGUUCGAUUCCCGUUCCGGUCG